UACGGGGGGGGCAAGCGUUGUUCGGAAUUACUGGGCGUAAAGGGCUCGUAGGUGGCCAACUAAGUCAGACGUGAAAUCCCUCGGCUUAACCGGGGAACUGCGUCUGAUACUGGAUGGCUUGAGUUUGGGAGAGGGACGCGGAAUUCCAGGUGUAGCGGUGAAAUGCGUAGAUAUCUGGAGGAACACCGACGGCGCAGGCAGCGUCCUGGCCGCUUGCUGACACUGAGGCACGAAAGCUGGGGGAGCAAACAGG
rnacentral:rRNA from 1 species